CCUACGGGAGGCAGCAGUGAGGAAUAUUGGUCAAUGGACGAGAGUCUGAACCAGCCAAGUAGCGUGAAGGAUGACUGCCCUAUGGGUUGUAAACUUCUUUUAUAUGGGAAUAAAACGUUCCACGUGUGGGAUUUUGUAUGUACCAUAUGAAUAAGGAUCGGCUAACUCCGUGCCAGCAGCCGCGGUAAUACGGAGAUCCGAGCGUUAUCCGGAUUUAUUGGGUUUAAAGGGAGCGUAGGUGGAUUGUUAAGUCAGUUGUGAAAGUUUGCGGCUCAACCGUAAAAUUGCAGUUGAAACUGGCAGUCUUGAGUUCAGUAGAGGUGGGCGGAAGUCGUGGUGUAGCGGUGAAAUGCUUAGAUAUCACGAAGAACUCCGAUUGCGAAGGCAGUUCACUGGACUGCAACUGACACUGAGGCUCGAAAGUGUGGGUAUCAAACAGGAUUAGAUACCCCUGUAGUC
rnacentral:rRNA from 1 species